GGGCGGAAGUGACGUCGCGUGGGGCGGGUCCGGCCGCGCACAAUGGGCCAUGGAGUUCCCGUUCGAUGUGGACGCGCUGCUCCCGGAGCGGAUCACGGUGCUAGACCAGCACCUACGGCCACCGGCCCGCCGACCCGGAACCACAACGCCUGCCCGUGUUGAUCUGCAGCAGCAAAUUAUGACCAUUGUAGAUGAACUGGGCAAGGCUUCUGCUAAGGCCCAGCAUCUUCCUGCUCCCAUCACCAGUGCAUCAAGGAUGCAGAGUAACCGCCACGUUAUGUAUAUACUCAAAGAUACUUCAGCUCGACUGGCUGGAAAAGGAGCCAUUGUUGGCUUCCUUAAAGUUGGAUAUAAGAAACUCUUUGUACUGGAUGACCGUGAGGCUCACAAUGAGGUAGAACCACUUUGCAUCUUGGACUUUUACAUCCAUGAGUCACUUCAACGCCAUGGCCAUGGACGAGAACUCUUCCAGUAUAUGUUGCAGAAGGAGCGAGUUGAACCACACCAACUGGCUAUUGACCGACCCUCGCAGAAGCUGCUGAAGUUCCUGAAUAAACACUACAACCUGGAGACCACAGUCCCACAGGUGAACAACUUCGUGAUCUUCGAAGGAUUCUUUGCCCAUCAGCAUCGGCCCCCUGCUACCUCUCUGAGGGCAACUCGACACUCUUGUGCUGCUGCGGUUGAUCCUAUGCCUGCUGCUCCAGCAAGGAAGCUGCCACCCAAGAGAGCAGAGGGAGACAUAAAGCCAUACUCCUCUAGUGACCGAGAAUUUCUGAAGGUAGCUGUGGAGCCUCCCUGGCCCUUGAACAGGGCCCCUCGCCGUGCUACACCUCCAGCCCACCCACCCCCGCGCUCCAGCAGCCUGGGAAACUCACCAGAACGGGGUCCCCUCCGCCCCUUCGUGCCAGAGCAGGAGCUGCUGCGUUCCCUGCGCCUCUGCCCCCCGCACCCCACUGCCCGCCUUCUGCUUGCUACUGACCCAGGGGGCAGCCCAGCCCAGCGUCGCCGCACCAGCUCCCUUCCCCGCUCUGAUGAGAGUCGAUACUGACAGACAGCUAAGCCCCUCCCCUCCCUGGGAGACCUGGCGAGGGCAGAGACCCCCUCCCUGAGAACCCCAGACCGGAUCUUCCAUUGUAUCCCCCAACAUCCAGGGGAACCUGACAGAGCCCAUAGGAUUCCCUCUUCCCCUUUCUUGGACAACUGGGUUGUCAGGGUCCCAGAUGGCCUAAUGCUUUGUAGCUUUUCUUACCAUAGAAAGCACCCCCUCUCUCCUACUCGGGCUCUGAACACUCUCCCACAGACAGCCCAUUUGCUGCCAGACUUCUUGGUUGGGCGGCUCCUAAUUAUCCAGAGAAGCAUAGUCUUGCUUGCAGUCAGAUUCUAGAACACCAUGGAAGGUCCAAGGGCCUCCUCUACCAGGGAAACCUUUUAAAGAGUCUUGUCCAUGGAAUGAAUCCUAUAAUCCCACUACACUGUCUCCUGGUAGCUCUAAUACUGCUUCGUGCUACUGACCACAGCUACCCUAUCAGCCUGCUGACGCCAGCCAGUGAGUGAGCUCUGCUUCAGAGCAGUCCAGUCAGGUAGGACAGGGACUUACCAGCUCCCCAGGGGAUCCACUCAACAUUGCCAAACUCUUUAAUUUCCACAUGCUGUGUGUAUGUGUAUCUGUCAGGGGACCCCCAAGCUGAUGUCUGCUUUGAGGCUCUAGACUCGCCCCACUUCUACAGACACCACCACUUCCCCUGGGUCCAGGUUCUGUGAGGGAGUUUGUUUCUUGGCAGUAGAUCCCAGCAACCACCCUAGGAUCACUCUUAGCCAAGUUUCAGAAGCUAAGCCUGAGUCUCAAGGCUCUAUUAGCUCCUGGAAUACCCUCUCGCAGCCAUCCCUCCCCCGUCGCUAGAUACUGAUAGAUUCCUGUCUUGUGAGAUUGUCUUGAGAUGAUGGGGGAACUCCUCCUCUGGCCUUCCUUUCUUCUUUCCUCCAUAGCAAGAACCUUCUUCCCUGCUCCAUACCCAGGGUAUAGAACAUCCUUCCCCCUCCCUACCCUCUGGAUGUGUGCUAGUUCAGAUACCCCUACUGUAUUCCCCCAAACCCUUGGGAGCAGGAUCUCCCUCUCUUCUGACUCACACCUUUUUCUUCUCCCUCUCAAUGUUGUCUGAAUAAAGUGUGAAUUCUUUUGUGUUUUUUAAAUGGACAUUUUCAAUGAUAAAAACUACAAAAGAAAAAAAAAAAACACCAAACAAACCUUAAGGUCUCAGCCUCGUUUGUGCAUCACCCCUUAUUUUCCUGGGAUCUCAGGACCUCUGUCCCUCUCUCUCCCUCACCUCUGAGAUCUGCAGAUCUUCCAGCAAGGAGUCUUAGAGCUCCCCUUGCAGGAUCUGGUGUCUGCCUGUCCCCAUCUUCAUUGUGGGAUCUUCUGCGGAUUGUCUCCUCUCAUGUAGUCGCUGGAUCCCUCUGUGUAGCCUUCUACAUCUACUCCUCCAUUCUCUCCAGAAACCUCUAGCUCUCCCUAGUCACUUCUACCCUUUACCCCAGGCCAGCCCUUGCUGAGAUGUUAAGAUUUACUAACAUCUCUGGGAUCCACUAAUUGCCUCCUGAUAACAGUCCCCUAAUUGUUUCCUGAAUUCCUCUUCCCGCUGGUUUCCUGGCCUCUCCCUCACUAAACCCUUGGAUCUCUUUCUCAAGACAGUCCUUUUCCUAAAUUCAGCCUUAGCACUCCCUAUAUCCCUCUGGCUGAGGUAUCCUAAAAUUAAGGUAAUCAUGUUUUCCAAACCAAACAUCAGGGCACCUGGUCCAACAAAAAAAAUUUUUUUUGCAUAUAUGUGAAUCUGGUUGUGAGUGUGUGUUUGUUUUCGGCCGAACCACACGGCUUGUGGGAUCUUAGUUCCCCGACCAGGCCCCAACCAGGGAUCGAACCUGUGCCCCCUGCAGUGGAAGCAUGGAGUCCUAACCACUGGACCGCCAGGGAAUUCCCCUGAAUUUGUUUUUAUGACAUGAUUUGGAGCACAUUUGGCCUUACUUUUAACACAUUACCUCAACUAGGAGUAAUAAAGCAGCAAGUCAGGACUGCUUCAGAAGAUCUUGGGGUAUAAAAUGAGCUCCCUUCCCUUUUCUGGGGCACAACUUAGAUUAAAAUCCCAUAGGAAUGAUAACUACCCCUCUCUCUGUUCCUGUGCUGUUCCUUUUAUUAUUCUCCUCUGAUUCCUCCAUACCCACUCAUCUUUCAUCCUGUAGCCUUUUCCCCAUCAUCUCACAUUUCUUCUACAGCAGGACUCCCCCAGGGCUGGUAGCCCAAAGCUGCAGCUAUAGCCGCCAUGGGCGGUUGAAUUCCUCAUCCCCCAAUACAGGCAACCAAGAACUGAAGCAGGGGGAGCAGGAAACAGAGAAUAGGUGAGGUCUGACCCCUCCCC